CUAGUCUUUAACAGCUGAGCCAUAAUUGGAGCGAUACAGAGAUUAGCAUGGCCCCUGUGCACAAAUUCAUGAAGUGUUCCAUAUUUUU
rnacentral:snRNA from 1 species